UACGGAGGUUCCAAGCGUUGUUCGGAGUUACUGGGCGUAAAGGGGGCGCAGGCGGCUCGGUAAGUCCAAAGUAGAAGCCCUGGGCUCAACCCAUGAAGGCCUUUGGAUACUGCCGAGCUUGAGUACGCGAGAGGAAAGCGGAAUUCAGGGUGUAGCGGUGAAAUGCUUAGAUAUCCUGAGGAACACCGGUGGCGAAAGCGGCUUUCUGGCGCAGUACUGACGCUCAGGCCCGAAAGCGUGGGGAGCAAACAGG
rnacentral:rRNA from 1 species